GCCGCACCUUUCUUCCUGCCCACCGGUCCUUCUUUUGUUACGGCUCUGCGGUGUUUCUCGCUCGUGUGCAAUCCGGCUCCAUCGCACUUUAGGCGGCAGGAUGGGGAUGGGCAGGAGCGAGGUGGGAUCCGAGCUGACGCCGACCUGGCCUUGGCGACGGUGGCGCGCGCUCUGGAGGACUGAUUGUUGAAUGGCGCCAGGAGACAGACAGGGCCCGGACGCGACGGCCGCCGCAUGUUGCCUACCAAGCAGGGACAAAAGAGUCUUUCAGCCCUUGCCUCGUGCCUUCUUUUGUAGUUCACUGUUGCAGAGGUGACGCAGGGGCUCUUGGUGCGACCUGGCCCUUUGUGGAGCUUGAGCGAGGAUGCUCUGGAAUCCUAAUCCAGUGGAGCAGUUUUCUGGAGUCGUUUUGCCUGGGUGAGGUGGUUAAUGAAGGAAAAGCAUGGUCUCUCUGACUCCUGCAAUCUUCCUGUGCGGUGGGAGCCGCUCAGGUGCGGAAACGAACGAAAGAAAACCGGCCAGAUUAAGGCUUAGUUUAUUGUCUUUCACGAGGAGACUCUUAAGUCGUUCUUUUCCGAGCGUCCCAAGCCACCGUUGGAAGCUUUGAUUUCUUUGUAUCCUUCAAAUGAUACUAAAUUCUCAAGUGCAACAAGAUUUCUUUUUCCUCUGCCGUUUUACUCUGGAUUGAAAGCAACCAAGUUAUCAAGGAAUUGUGUUCUUGGUGAUGUCUGAAAGAUAUAUGGCUUUGGAGGAUUAUGAAAAGCACAAGAAAGGAAUGAACUCAGGAUGUUUUUCUCAAGAUUGUACCAUUUGCAAAUUUAUUCAGUAAUUUUGGAGAUUUAUAUAAGGCUUGUUCAGAAAGCAAAAGUAUACUUCACAGAAGCCUGAUGGCUGAAGUUAAUUCCUGGGACCCAUAGGGUGGAAGAAGAGAAUGGAUCCUGAAAGUUUUCUUCUGACCAGAUACACCCAACAAUGCCCUCAGAGUCCGGUUGGAGUUUCAGGCAGUUGUGAGCUCCCGGAAGUGGGUGUUGGAAACGGAACUCUACGCCCUCUGCAAGAACCACAGCUCCCUUAACCACUGAGCCAUCUUUCCGGCCCAAUUUUCUGUAAAUAUGAAGCUGAAAUCUUUUCUCUGUGGAGAAAAAGCAAGAGUGGGUGCUGUGAUGGAAUGUCAUGACUGCAGCCAAACAAAGGAACUGUAACUUCCUAUCAGUGCUUCCUGGUAGAGGGCUGGCCCAGAGUCAAACAUCAGAUGGUCAGAAGUGCUCUCCUUUACACUCUAGGAACCACACUUGGUGGGAUGAUGCCUCCCAAAUGCGGGUCUCCGCAGUCUCGCCUGCUGCUCAUUUGUACUGUAUUUAUUAAAACAUCAUUUUCUACCAUGCU